rnacentral:rRNA from 1 species
ACGAACGCUGGCGGCGUGCUUAACACAUGCAAGUCGAACGGGAUUUAGUAAACGGAAGCCUCGGUGGAAGAUUACUAAUGAGAGUGGCGAACGGGUGAGUAACGCGUGAGCAACCUGCCUAUGACAGUGGGAUAGCCUCGGGAAACCGGGAUUAAUACCGCAUAAAAUCGUAGAAACACAUGUUUCAACGGUCAAAGAUUUAUCGGUCAUAGAUGGGCUCGCGUCUGAUUAGCUAGUUGGUGAGAUAACAGCCCACCAAGGCGACGAUCAGUAGCCGGUCUGAGAGGAUGAACGGCCACAUUGGAACUGAGACACGGUCCAAACUCCUACGGGAGGCAGCAGUGGGGAAUAUUGCACAAUGGGGGAAACCCUGAUGCAGCGACGCCGCGUGAACGAAGAAGGUAUUCGUAUCGUAAAGUUCUGUCCUAUGGGAAGAUAAUGGCAGUACCAUAGAAGAAAGCUCCGGCUAAAUACGUG